UUUCGAUAGUGUAAAAGUUAAGUCAAAUCUGUAUAGAGUUCGAACGUUUGCCUACGUUUGCCGCUAGGGGCGUGUUCCAAUUGCAUGCAAAUUUGAGUUCACUUUUACGCUAUCGA
rnacentral:pre_miRNA from 9 species